GGCUUAUCCACAGCCUCUUCCUUUUCUCCCACCUGUCAUCUCUAGUUUUUCUUCAUUUCUUUGCUGUCCGCCCACCCCAUCCCCUGCAGCUGAAGCGACCGAGUCCCUAAAGACAAGGCAGGUUGCCCGCGCGAAAGCACGGAGAGUUUGAACCCCGGGACUACAUCUGCCCUCUGCCCCUGACCUGGGCGUUCCCAGCGCCGCGCUUUCUGCGGGGCUUUCGACGAGCCCUGUGCACCGGACUGGGCUUCGCCGGGGGCGGUGAGGCGCCGCGCUACCCCCGAGGAGCCGCGCUGGGAGAAAUACAGAUGCAAAAGCAGGACGUGGGUAAAUGAGAGAAGAUAAGGUAUUGCUCCUGCAAGCGGAACAACCUGUCUUCAAAAUGGAUUUAACUCCUAGAAGCUCCAUGGGGUCCUGUCUAUAGCAGGGAUGUUGACUUAGGAUUUCCCACUGUUUUGAGACCUUCUCCAGCUCCACCAGUAUGGCACAGCAGAGAACUCCCACUCAUGCUUUUGAUCUUUU
rnacentral:lncRNA from 1 species